UCCGUGAAGGUGGCCUUCAGCCUUGCAGUC
rnacentral:piRNA from 1 species